GACAGAGGUGCCGAGCGUUAGGCGGAAUCACUGGGCUUAAAGCGUGUGUAGGCGGUUCGUUAAGUACCUUGUGAAAUCCCACGGCUUAACCGUGGAACUGCUUGGUAUACUGGCGAUCUUGAGCCACUUAGGGGCUACCGGAACAAAUGGUGGAGCGGUGAAAUGCGUAGAUAUCAUUUGGAACGCCAAUGGUGAAAACAGGUAGCUGGGAGUGUGCUGACGCUGAGACACGAAAGCCAGGGGAGCAAACGGG
rnacentral:rRNA from 1 species